rnacentral:rRNA from 1 species
UACGUAGGGUGCGAGCGUUGUCCGGAAUUAUUGGGCGUAAAGAGCUCGUAGGCGGUCUGUCGCGUCGAAUGUGAAAACCCGGGGCUCAACUCCGGGCUUGCAUUCGAUACGGGCAGGCUAGAGUUCGGUAGGGGAGUCCGGAAUUCCUGGUGUAGCGGUGAAAUGCGCAGAUAUCAGGAGGAACACCGGUGGCGAAGGCGGGUCUCUGGGCCGAUACUGACGCUGAGGAGCGAAAGCGUGGGGAGCGAACAGG